UACGUAGGGGGCAAGCGUUGUCCGGAAUCAUUGGGCGUAAAGAGCGUGUAGGCGGCUCGAUAAGUCUGCUGUGAAAGUCCAGGGCUCAACCCUGGAAGGCCGGUGGAAACUGUCGGGCUAGAGUCCGGAAGAGGCGAGUGGAAUUCCCGGUGUAGCGGUGAAAUGCGCAGAUAUCAGGAGGAACACCGAUGGCGAAGGCAGCUCGCUGGGACGGUACUGACGCUGAGGCGCGAAAGCGUGGGGAGCGAACAGG
rnacentral:rRNA from 1 species